UACGAAGGGAGCUAGCGUUGUUCGGAAUCACUGGGCGUAAAGCGCACGUAGGCGGGUUUGUCAGUCAGGGGUGAAAUCCCGGAGCUCAACUCCGGAACUGCCCUUGAUACAGCAAGCCUUGAGUCCGGAAGAGGUAGGUGGAAUUCCUAGUGUAGAGGUGAAAUUCGUAGAUAUUAGGAAGAACACCAGUGGCGAAGGCGGCCUACUGGUCCGGCACUGACGCUGAGGUGCGAAAGCGUGGGGAGCAAACAGG
rnacentral:rRNA from 1 species